CAGUAGCCGCGGGAAUACGUAGGUCCCGAGCGUUGUCCGGAUUUAUUGGGCGUAAAGCGAGCGCAGGCGGUUAGAUAAGUCUGAAGUUAAAGGCUGUGGCUUAACCAUAGUACGCUUUGGAAACUGUAUAACUUGAGUGCAAGAGGGGAGAGUGGAAUUCCAUGUGUAGCGGUGAAAUGCGUAGAUAUAUGGAGGAACACCGGUGGCGAAAGCGGCUCUCUGGCUUGUAACUGACGCUGAGGCUCGAAAGCGUGGGGAGCAAACAGGAUUAGAUACCCCGGUAGUCCCUGUCUCUUAUACA
rnacentral:rRNA from 1 species